rnacentral:lncRNA from 1 species
AAGUGGGUGGUUGACAUGUGAAAGAAGUCCUAAGCUCUUAAAGGGAGAGAAUAUCUUAGAAUCUAUGGGAUAUGUUGGUUCGUCAGUAUUUGGUGUGGGUCCCUUCAUGGGAGGAGGACAGACAUUAAUUAGGGUAUUAGUGUGCUCUUGGACCACUCCAUGGAUUGCCGGAACUUGUAUUGCUCUGUGUUUAUCAAGUGAUUUGAAGUCAUUAUCAGUGGUCACAGAGGUUUCCAGCGGUGGCGAAUCAGAAGUUUCAUAUUUUCAGCUUGAAACCAAUCUGCUGUAUUCCUUCUUACCUGAAGUAACUCGUAUGGCCAGGAAGUUUACUCACAUUUCAGCUCUCUUACAGUAUAUAAAUUUGUCACUGACAUGUAUGUGUGAAGCAUGGGAAGAAAUUCUGAUGCAGAUGGACUCCCGUCUUACCAAGUUUGUACAGGAAAAACCUACAACCACGUCAGUGCAGGAUGAGUUCAUGCACUUGCUGCUGUGGGGGAAAGCCAGUGCUGAAC